rnacentral:rRNA from 1 species
GAUGAACGCUAGCUACAGGCUUAACACAUGCAAGUCGAGGGGAAACGACAUCGAAAGCUUGCUUUUGAUGGGCGUCGACCGGCGCACGGGUGAGUAACGCGUAUCCAACCUGCCCACCACUUGGGGAUAACCUUGCGAAAGUAAGACUAAUACCCAAUGACGUCUCUAGAAGACAUCUGAAAGAGAUUAAAGAUUUAUCGGUGAUGGAUGGGGAUGGGUCGGAUUAGCUUGUUGGCGGGGUAACGGCCCACCAAGGCGACGAUCAGUAGGGGUUCUGAGAGGAAGGUCCCCCACAUUGGAACUGAGACACGGUCCAAACUCCUACGGGAGGCAGCAGUGAGGAAUAUUAGUCAAUGGGCGAGAGCCUGAACCAGCCAAGUAGCGUGCAGGAUGACGGCCCUAUGGGUUGUAAACUGCUUUUAUAGGGGAAUAAAGUGAGUCUCGUGAGACUUUUUGCAUGUACCUUAUGAAUAAGGACCGGCUAAUUCCGUGCCAGCCGCCGCAGUAA